rnacentral:tRNA from 1 species
GGUUGUGGCUCAGUGGUAGAGCACUCACCUAGCACGUGCAAGGUGCUGAUUCAAUCCUCAGCACCA